CUAAACAAAAGUUAAAAUGCUGGUUAAGAGAAUUCAAAUAUUGUAGAGAAGAUCUUGUAGUUCCAGAAGAUUGUUAUUAUGUUUCGUUUACAGUUAACUAAUUAAUCUAUCUCAAGAAAAUAAUGAAUUUUGCACUGUGACUUGUUUCAAUACAUCAAAAUAACCCCGGCUCACAUCUCGUCAUGGCAAAGCGGGAUCAUAUAUAAAACAGCCCCUUAUUCAGCAAAUUACGCAUGCUGUCUUUGAUCCCUUGGGGGUGAGGCAGCACUUUCCUUGCGAU